AAUAGACCCAACGUGUCCGGUGCCAACUAACAGCUAACAUCAUCCAGCAGAUGAAUAUCACUGAUUAUUUUAGGGGAAACACGUCGUUUUAAGAUGGAAUUUUUCCGGAAUAAGUAUUAAUUUGACAUUUAAAAGGGGUGGAUAAGGUGAUGCAGGUGGAGCAUGCAGUGGACCUGCUGAUGGAGUGUGAUGAAGAGGAGCAGGAGGUUUGGCCUCGACACGAUGAAGUUUCUCCGUCUCGCUCUCUGGAGGCCGUCGGUCCGAUGGAGGACACCGACCUCCCAGCGGUCCGGAUCAUCCCCAUCCCAGUUCACCCAGUCAGCAGCUGCAGCCCCCCCCCCACACCACAGCACACUGAAGUCUCCAGGUGCUCCGCUGGGCUUCAAGGUGAACGGUCGGCUGGUCCGCCUGCUGCCUGGAGGUGGCGCUGCAGAGCUGCAGCUGCGCUUUCAUCUCACAGGUUUUCAUCUCGGAGGUUCAGUGAGUGGCUUCACUUCAGUGCAGGUUCACAGUCCUGCAGCUGCUCACCACAUCAGCACCGCGGCCUGCACUGCUGCUGACCCCAUCAUCACAGGUGUGGUCUCAGGUGAAGCAGCUCAGAAGGUUUUGAGUGUCCACGGCGAGAACUUCCCAUCCAGCCCCCCGUCCUCUGCCCCCCCGCGGACCCUGUCCUCCCCACAGCCAACACCCCCAGCACCACGGACGAAACCUCCACCGUCGGAGACCACACCCCCCGUACCACAGCCCACCAGGCGCCCCCCCCGGCAGCAGCAGACCUGCAGCUCCUCUCAAACCUCUGCACAAAGGUCAGCUGGGACCCGUCUCACCCCCCGACUGCCUCGUCUGCAUGUCUCAGUACAAACUCAUCACAGAGCUCAGAGGAUUCCUGUGUCUGUGCAGCCCUGA
rnacentral:lncRNA from 1 species